UUUUCAAGAUUUCCAAAAGUUUAUAGAGACGUCCGAUCAUCAUCAUUUUUUAAACUUUAAAAAGUCCCGCACUCUAUCGGAACUUAUUUUUCCCCAUUUUACUAUUCCUUCGAGGAAAGCUGGGACCAUAGAUACUCCGGCGUGUCACUUUCGGAGAAAAUUACAGACCAUAACGAAGGGGCUUGAAGCCCUCUAACCCUGAGAACACUCACCUGUCUCUCCCGUUUUUUAUCUACGCCGCUGCUCCCCCAUGCCCUCUCUAUCUCUCUCUAUAAGCUCACUGCCCUAGGUAUGAAAUCUCUCUCCUUCUCUCCUGUGAGUCUCAAAGUAGAACUAUGGCCCCGUUUCUUUAGCUUCCACACCUCCAUCAAACCUUGGUUUCUAGCUCUCAAAUUGUUUCCAACACUAGGGUUUCGUUUCAUGAUGAGAGAAGAAACCAGUUAAUUCUUAUUGCUAAUGGUGAUGUGGGGUUUCGUUUCAUGUUGAUCGAGGGUUCAGUUUAGGUAUGCGGUUCAGAAAAGGUUUGUUUCCUUUCAAUCAUCAAACAUUUUAUUUCCGUUGAUUUAACGGGGUUUCAUGUUAUUGUAAGAAUUGUUCUCUUUUCUGUUUGGGUUUGUUUUGUAUUUGUAUGUCCGUCGCUUUGCUUCUGAUUUUGUUGAUUGUUGCAGAGAUGUUUCCACAGUGAUAUUUAUGUAUUUAUUUAUUUUGAAUUAAAAAAAUAGAAUCUAUUGAAGUUGCUCUGUUAAGUCCUGAUUUUUGAUCACUUGAAAUUUAGUCUACAAUUUUCUUCCUUUCUAAUUUUCAGAUUUCUGAUUCAUAUUCCUACCUGGUGACUUGUUUAUGUAGUGUGUUAUGGGAAAGAAAACUUCAGCUCUGUGCUGGACACCUGGUUUAUGAUUACAAACCAUUAAUUCCGUUGGUUUUUUUUGGAUAUCUGUAAAUUAGAACUAUUUUCAUUUCUUUAAUGCUAAGUGUAAGAGGGAGCUUAUACUUUUAUGAUUUGUGAACCCCAAAACUUACAAAUAACAGUGAAGCUGACAAACAAAGUUUAGUUUAUGAAGCUACUGUAAUAUUCAUGUGAAUUAGGAUAUGAUGUGUCGAGGAAUGUGUAGUUUGCUGAGGUUGAAAAUCGAUGCAUUUCAAUUUCAAAAAGAAAAAUAACUUUUCCUAAAGUUUUUUUGUGUCUUCCACUCCUAAGUUAUAUGGAGAUAAGAACAAAUUUCAAUGUGAACCGUACAUUUUAUAUGAAAUGCAUUAGAUGGAUUAUAUAAAGAAACUAUUACUCAAAAUAUGCAUUUCACACGUCAAAAUAGUGAAAUACAUAAUGAAUAUUGAGAUCUAGUUUCCAGCUUUACUAAUGCCAAAUAGGUGAAAAUACUAGCACCACAAUUUAUCAAACAGGUUUCCCAGUUUUCAAGCUACCGAUUUUCACUUGCCUCCUAAAUUCCAGGAAAGUCAGCAGCAUUGAUUUUUCCAGGAAAACUAGAGAGAAAGUUAUCAAACACACCCUAAUAGAUUAGUUAUCUAUAGCGGAGCACUCUUCACCCAGCAGUCAUCCAUCAACAGCCCUUUUCUUUAAUUGAUUUAUUACUGAAAGCGGCAAAAGGGGGUACGAAUCGGCUAGGGCUAGGGGAUUAUAGUAUAGUACUCAUUUCAAUCGUAGAGGGCUGGUUAAGAAACAAAGCAGGUACAAAUGGUCAUUCCCUUCUGUAUUGCUGUGGUGGGGAAGGUUCUCACGAGACGAAGGAAGGGAUGACCCAACCAAUGACAUAAUCACGUACGGAAGGAAAAGGAUCUCCUAAAUCCGUGGAAGGAGAGUUCUUGGCUCUUUAAGGAGGGUUGAACAAGACUGGAAGCAGAAAAAAAACUCUCUCUCUCUCUCUC
rnacentral:lncRNA from 1 species